GUCGAACGGUAGAGGGGGCAACCCCUUGAGAGUGGCGAACGGGUGAGUAAUAUAUCGGAACGUGCCCAGUCGUGGGGGAUAACGUAGCGAAAGUUACGCUAAUACCGCAUACGAUCUAAGGAUGAAAGCGGGGGAUCGCAAGACCUCGCGCGACUGGAGCGGCCGAUAUCAGAUUAGGUAGUUGGUAGGGUAAAGGCCUACCAAGCCAACGAUCUGUAGCUGGUCUGAGAGGACGACCAGCCACACUGGAACUGAGACACGGUCCAGACUCCUACGGGAGGCAGCAGUGGGGAAUUUUGGACAAUGGGCGAAAGCCUGAUCCAGCCAUUCCGCGUGCAGGAUGAAGGCCCUCGGGUUGUAAACUGCUUUUGUACAGAACGAAAAGGUUUCUAUUAAUACUAGGAGCUCAUGACGGUACUGUAAGAAUAAGCACCGGCUAACUACGUGCCAGCAGCCGCGGUAAUACGUAGGGUGCAAGCGUUAAUCGGAAUUACUGGGCGUAAAGCGUGCGCAGGCGGUUAUAUAAGUCAGAUGUGAAAUCCCCGGGCUCAACCUGGGAACUGCAUUUGAGACUGUAUAGCUAGAGUACGGUAGAGGGGGAUGGAAUUCCGCGUGUAGCAGUGAAAUGCGUAGAUAUGCGGAGGAACACCGAUGGCGAAGGCAAUCCCCUGGACCUGUACUGACGCUCAUGCACGAAAGCGUGGGGAGCAAACAGGAUUAGAUACCCUGGUAGUCCACGCCCUAAACGAUGUCAACUGGUUGUUGGGUCUUUACUGACUCAGUAACGAAGCUAACGCGUGAAGUUGGCCGCCUGGGGAGUACGGCCGCAAGGUUGAAA
rnacentral:rRNA from 1 species